GAUGAACGCUGGCGGCGUGCCUAAUACAUGCAAGUAGAACGCUGAAGGAGGAGCUUGCUCUUCUGGAUGAGUUGCGAACGGGUGAGUAACGCGUAGGUAACCUGCCUGGUAGCGGGGGAUAACUAUUGGAAACGAUAGCUAAUACCGCAUGACAACAGUUAUUGCAUGAUAACUGUUUAAAAGGGGCAACUGCUCCACUACCAGAUGGACCUGCGUUGUAUUAGCUAGUUGGUGAGGUAACGGCUCACCAAGGCGACGAUACAUAGCCGACCUGAGAGGGUGAUCGGCCACACUGGGACUGAGACACGGCCCAGACUCCUACGGGAGGCAGCAGUAGGGAAUCUUCGGCAAUGGACGGAAGUCUGACCGAGCGACGCCGCGUGAGUGAAGAAGGUUUUCGGAUCGUAAAGCUCUGUUGUAAGAGAAGAACGAGUGUGAGAGUGGAAAGUUCACACUGUGACGGUAUCUUACCAGAAAGGGACGGCUAACUACGUG
rnacentral:rRNA from 1 species